GUUGUUGUGGCCGAGUGGUUAAGGCGAUGGACUAGAAAUCUCCCCGCGCAGGUUCGAAUCCUGCCAACAACG